GACGAACGCUGGCGGCGUGCCUAAUACAUGCAAGUGGGACGCAAGGGAACACACUGUGCUUGCACACCGUGUUUUCUUGAGUCGCGAACGGGUGAGUAACGCGUAGGUAACCUGCCUAUUAGCGGGGGAUAACUAUUGGAAACGAUAGCUAAUACCGCAUAAUAUUAAUUAUUGCAUGAUAAUUGAUUGAAAGAUGCAAGCGCAUCACUAGUAGAUGGACCUGCGUUGUAUUAGCUAGUUGGUAAGGUAAGAGCUUACCAAGGCGACGAUACAUAGCCGACCUGAGAGGGUGAUCGGCCACACUGGGACUGAGACACGGCCCAGACCUCCUACGGGAGGCAGCAGUAGGGAAUCUUCGGCAAUGGACGAAAGUCUGACCGAGCAACGCCGCGUGAGUGAAGAAGGUUUUCGGAUCGUAAAGCUCUGUUGUAAGUCAAGAACGUGUGUGAGAGUGGAAAGU
rnacentral:rRNA from 1 species